ACGCACUUCGACCUGGCCUAGGCCAGGAAAUCUGGGCCACCUGUUCUGAUGGACCCAGAUUUCCUGGCCUUGCCCAGGUCGAAGUGCGU
rnacentral:pre_miRNA from 1 species